rnacentral:rRNA from 1 species
UACGUAGGGUGCAAGCGUUGUCCGGAAUUUAUUGGGCGUAAAGAGCUCGUAGGCGGUCUGUCGCGUCUGCUGUGAAAAUCAGGGCUCAACCCUGGACCUGCAGUGGGUACGGGCAGACUAGAGUGCGGUAGGGGAGAUCGGAAUUCCUGGUGUAGCGGUGAAAUGCGCAGAUAUCAGGAGGAACACCGGUGGCGAAGGCGGAUCUCUGGGCCGUAACUGACGCUGGAGGAGCGAAAGCAUGGGGAGCGAACAGG